GCGCCCUUAGCUCAGUUGGUAGAGCAUCUGACUUUUAAUCAGGUGGUCGCGCGUUCGAGUCGCGCAGGGCGCACCA
rnacentral:tRNA from 1 species